rnacentral:misc_RNA from 1 species
GAUGAAGAACGUAGCGAAAUGCGAUAAGUAAUGUGAAUUGCAGAAUUCAGUGAAUCAUCGAAUCUUUGAACGCACCUUGCGCCCUUUGGCCAUUCCGAAGGGCAUGCCUGUUUGAGUAUCAUGAACACCUCAACUCUUCAUGGUUUUCCAUGAUGAGCUUGGACUUUGGGGGUCUUGCUGGCCUGUGGGUCGGCUCCUCUCAAAUGAAUCAGCUUGCCGGUUUUUGGUGGGCAUCACAGGUGUGAUAACUAUCUACGCUUGUGGUUUUCCACCAGGGUAACCUUCAGCAGUGGAGGUUCACUGGAGCUUACAAAUGUCUCUCCUCUGUGAGGACAGCCCUUUGAAUGUUUGAUCUCAAAUCAGGUAGGACUACCCGCUGAACUUAAGCAUAUCAAUACGCGGAGGA